GAAGGCCCGAAGCAAGCAAGCUUCCGCGACCGCAGCCAAUCGAUGGCGAUCGCCGCCGCUCGCCGGCGCCUGUGGCGCGGGAUGGGGACAGCGGCCGCGGCGGCGGCUGCGGGGACGGAAGAAACCCUACUCGCUCGCCUGGUCUCGGAGCCGGAGAGCCGCGUGAAGGCGACCGUGGAGGAGGUCGCUUCCUCGGCGCAGCACCGUGACGGCGGCUUCUGGGGGCCCCUCGCCGCCGCUCUCCUCCGCGCGUCCUCUCCGACAAAGGCGCACCUCGUAUUGGAAUGGAAGCUAGAGAAGCUACUGAAGGAAGAGGUUCAUGAUUGUGAGCCCUACUCAACAAUAAUCCAAUUCUGUGCUCAGACAAGAAAUUCAGCACUUGCAAUGAGAGUCUUUGAAUGCGUGGAGGCACAGGGAAUUCAUCUGAACACUGGCAUUUUCAAUGCCCUUGUUAACACUUUCUUGUCGGUCAGAGAUCUCCUCUCCGCAAUGACCUUAUAUGAGACUAUGGAAGGCAUGGAUGGUUGCAAGCCCGAUUGCUUUACAUAUGAUGCAUUUAUAUCUGCAUUUUCGAUCCUUGGAAGUGGCCAUGCGAUGAUGAGCUGGUAUGUAGCUGCAAAAAAUGCUGGGUUUACUCCAAGUAUUCAAGCUUUUGAAUCUUUGAUCACAGGGUUUAUUCGGUUGAACAUGCUAGAUGAUGCAAAAACGGUGUUUGAGGAAAUGAUUUCCUUGGGGAUUAAGCCAAACUCUGCUAUUUUGGAGGCAAAUCUUGAGAUUGUUACUAGAAAAGAGGAGGUCAACACAGUAAUAGACUUUUUAAAACGUGUGAGGGAUGGCAAUUGGGAGUUGAACAAAGCUACAGUUGAAAGGUUAACGAGAAUAUGCCUAGAUGGAGGUGAAAUAGAUGAAAUGGAGCAGCUGCUUGCCGUAAUACAAAAGGGAACACAUUCGAGUUAUGAAACACAACUGCACCAUGGAAUUAUCAGGUUCUAUGCUAAGGCAGAUCGAUUGGCAGAUAUGGAAGAUGCGAUUUGCUGGAUGUUGGACAACGGUGUGAUGUUUAUGUGCCCAGAGGAUGUUGAUGUCAUAAUCUGUUCUUAUUUUCGUCACAAGGAAUUUGAUAGAUUGGAUUUGUUCUUAAAUCGCAUUCAAAGUUUCUUCAAGCCGAACAGGUCUACGUAUGAUAUAUUGGUUGCUGGAUAUCGAAAGUUUGAUUUACAUGAAAGGCUUCAUUCGACCAUAAAUGAUAUGAGGCAAGCUGGGUUUGCAUGAGCUCACGGAAAACCUUAAGUGCAUCAUGGCAGCAAAAUGAAAUCCUGGGUUACAUGUUCUCUUCACACAGUCCAACUCAAUGUUCUUUGACCAGUUCUAUGUCUGACACGGGAAGGAUCUCAGAUUCAGAUAAAUUAUCAUGCCCAACUAUUGAGAAACAUGUGGACAUAUGAGAAGCAUGAAGUUACCUGGAUGUUAAGCUUGGCAUUACACAAACAUCUUUUAGCCAAGACUCCACUGAUCUUAGAGGCUGCUGACGUUGCAGAAGGUGUUAUUUAGAAAGAUCAAUGGAAGGUUAGUUGAGAUAAUAGCUGUAGCCACCUGACUUGUCAUUAGCAUGAUCGGCUGGUCAACAGUACAACAUGGACAUGCAUACUCUAGCAGUGUCACAGAUGUCAAAUCCGGAUUUUGAUGAAAUAUUGGAUAAUGUUUUUCCUUAACUCCAUACUUUAUCAUAGUAAUUCUGCUAAUUUUUUCAUUGCUUUUCUAUUUUGUAUGGAAUCAUAUAAAUAUGUUUUUAUGUUUAUGUAUUAUGUUGCACUGUUUCCAAGGAGAA